rnacentral:snRNA from 1 species
GUGCUCACUUCAGCAGCACAUAUGCUGAAGUUGGAACGAUACAGAGACAAUUAGCAUGCCCUC